AGCGACGUCNACUCUCACAUCCCUUUUCAUUCUUGCUCCAAGAGCAAUAUGCCUUGGACCAAUUCGGUUGCCUGUGUUGUAUACCUACGUUGAUGGAAUUCGCUCGUCCAAUCGCCCCUUAUUCACCUUGUGCUGCUUACGCGGUGCAGGAUGAACCAUGCAGUGUCCUUUGUUGGGCAUUCUUGCCCUGCGUUCGCGCGAUGCAGGAAAUGGCCAAUGUCUGACACUCGAAUUCUCGGAUACGGAACCUUAAGCGGGCAACGGGUCUUUGGCCUUGAUUUGCCCAAACUAAGUUCUUACGAACGACUGUCGUGCCCGUUUUGACCUGAGGAUGCUUUUGGUCCGACUGGCUCAUGCG
rnacentral:misc_RNA from 1 species